rnacentral:lncRNA from 1 species
CCAAGUAAAUCAAGAGACACUGUGCUAUGGCAAAAAUUAAGAUUUACAGAAAUAUUAUUGAAGAAAACAUAACUAAUUAACAGAUGAUCAUCAAGGAUGUUAGAUGAAAGAAAUACAGCUAUUAUGUGCCUAUAAUGUUUCCCAAUAGAUUCUGUAAGAGGAAUUGUUUCUGAUAAAUUUUUCCUGUCCAAGGAAGAGUUGUUACUGAUAAAUUAAUCCAACACCUUUACAUCCAAAAGUGUGUGAUAUUGUUUUUCAAGCAGCAGGAGAGAUGAAUCCUGAAAACAGAUGUGGCAAACAACGAUGCUUUCUUCAACUCCUGAGCACUGAAAUGUAGAGUUAGAGAGAGAUUGCUAACUAUAAUUAGACCUUUCCAUCAGAUGUAGGAAGAGCAUGAUUUUCCAUUGUGGAAGAAGAAGAAGGGGUGACAGAAUUUGUGCCUUUGGAGGGAGAAGAAGAAGGAGAAGGUAGCUUCUUUGGCAACAUCUGUUCCCAGUAUUCUUUAGGUAAUCUUGAUCCUUCUGAGAGAACAACAAUGGCAAGAAGAGUCAAAAGCAAGCACUGGUGCUUCCAAGAUCCUUUCAUGAUUGUGUGUGUAGU